ACCCAAAAAUCGAAUAGAAAAGCUGUGCCCUCUCUUUCACGCGGCAAUUCCCUUUGCAGCUUUCGUGGUUCGCAAGCAGCUCCGAUUAGGUUUCCGGUCUCGAAUCUGUUCCUCCAAUGGCGACGGUAGCAUCUGCAGGACUCAAUGAUAUUAGUAAUAGCAAGAGUCCGCUUGGAGAAAACCCUAGUCAAACCCUAGACCCGACGAUUUCUUCCUCUGCCCAGCCUCCUGCCUCCGUUCCGUCUUCGUCAACUGAUGGCGGGUCAUCCAAGGACAGGGACGAGUCCAAGGGCUCCGGUAAGGCGUCGGUUGAAGGUGAUGGUGCACCGGUUUCUGAUGUCCAGAGGAAAAUGCGCCGUGCCGAGCGUUUUGGGAUCUCAGUGCAAUUGUCUGAAGAAGAAAAGCGUAAUUCUCGAGCGGAACGGUUUGGUAUGGGUACCGCAACUAAUGGAUUGGGAGCAUCUAAUAAGACAGAGGAGGUGAAGAGAAAGGCAAGAGCUGAGAGAUUUGGGCUUUCUGCAUCUGUGACUACUGAUGAUGAGGCAAAGAAGAAAGCUCGUCUUGCUAGGUUUUCAUCAACAUCAAAGCCAGACCCCCAGGAAGAAGAGAAGAGGAAAGCAAGGGCAAUCAGGUUUUCUAAUCCAACAUCAAACUCUCCCACACAAAUGGAUGGGAAAGGAAACGUUGAGACGAUUGCAGAUGUUGCAGGCAAGGCUGGAGGUGGUGCCUGAAAAGAACAUUCCCUUUUGAUGGCAAGAUAGCUUUUGCUUGUAAAUUUUUUUUGUGGUCUAGUAUCCUGGUUAUGAUUCCCUGUAAUGGCUUUCGUACCCAUAUGCAUUCCUACAUAAUAUUAUCUAGUUCAAAAGUCUUCCAUUCUGAGGGCAGAUUCCAUACUGCAAGGUGCUGUACUACGUGUUGAUGAGAGAUGAGGUUCCCUACAUUCGGUUGUGUCAGGAUAUUAAUUCUCUGGUUAGGUGUUAUAUUGUAGCAAAUACCUCCCUAGGUCAAACCUAUCUUACAAGUUUAUUAAAGAAUGUCAGAAAUUUCUGAAGUUUUUAGCCCUCCAAUGUUUUGAUUAUCAUCUUCAGUUUAUAUCUCCUUUGUGAUGACAAGUUGGAUAUUCAUGAUAUCAUUUGAACGGCAGUGUUAAGUUUCCAUGUGCAUUGGUACCAUCUGAUACUGACCAGUUGAAAUUUUACUAAUUUGUCAAAUUGACCUUCAGGAUUAGAAAGUUAACGUAUCUUGCUUUCCUUUGAGUUACUAUCAUUAGGUUUUUAGUUUUCUAACUGUAAUUUAGCUUGAAUUUUUAGGUUGUUCCUUUUUCAAUGAUAGGUUUUUACUUUGCUGACGGUAAUAGUUUAAGACUAAUGGCAAACUCUCAAUGUUAAACGUGCAUGUAUAUCUUUUGCCUUUAUUAUCCAAUCACUUAUGUUUGAAGUUUGGUCACUUUGUAUGAUGCCGGCACGUCUCAUCUCAUGGCAUCACUUAUAUUACUCAUCAUGGGAAUGACUACUACACUGCACUCUUUGAACACCUAGUUUUACUAUAACCUGCAGAACACUUCGAUUAGAAUGGACAUGUGUUGAUUGUUAUUUAGAACUGCCGUUCAAAAUGUCAUCAUGAGAUGCUAGCUCCAACUUGUUUAAGAAUAAACUGAAGAUAAGUCUUGGAAGGGGAAGAAAUUAUCAGUUCUGUUGGUAAGUGGUCGUGUGGGAGAGGCUGAAUUCUCUCUUCUAACUUAGAAGUUUCUGAUAUUCUUGUUUGGUGUAAUAUAGGAUAGGCCGCAUCUUUGGAGGUAUUUGUUGGCUCUCUUAGAAGUCUGCAUGUAUUGAGGUCUGUAGCUGAGAAUGGAUCGUACUCUAAAAAUAGGUUUCUCUUCAAGUUUUUAUUGUUUCUUUCUUCUUUUCCUUUUAUCUUUAUUUGCUUAGCUACUUAGCAGCUACAUGUAGUUAGUUUCUUUUGGAUUUUUGGUUGGAUGUAAUGGUAUGGAAGGACAACAAUAUUAAUUGAGGGAAUCGGUAUUUUGAUCAAAA